rnacentral:sRNA from 1 species
UCUUGGGUGAGGGAAGGGAUUCCUUUG